rnacentral:rRNA from 1 species
UACGUAGGGGGCAAGCGUUAUCCGGAUUUACUGGGUGUAAAGGGAGCGUAGACGGCUUUGCAAGCCAGAUGUGAAAGCCCGGGGCUCAACCCCGGGACUGCAUUUGGAACUGUGUGGCUAGAGUGUCGGAGAGGCAGGCGGAAUUCCUAGUGUAGCGGUGAAAUGCGUAGAUAUUAGGAGGAACACCAGCGGCGAAGGCGGCCUGCUGGACGAUGACUGACGUUGAGGCUCGAAAGCGUGGGGAGCAAACAGG